GGGCCGUUAGCUCAGUUGGUAGAGCACCGCAUUUGCACUGCGGGGGUCGGGAGUUCGAAUCUCCCACGGUCCA
rnacentral:tRNA from 1 species